rnacentral:rRNA from 1 species
UUGGUUGUCGUCAGCUCGUGUCGUGAGAUGGUUGGGUUAACGUCCCGCAACGAGCGCAACCCCUAUUGUUAGUUGCCAUCAUUCAGUUGGGCACUCUAGCGAGACUGCCGGUAAUAAACCGGAGGAAGGUGGGAUGACGUCAAAUCAUCAUGCCCCUUAUGACCUGGGCUACACACGUGCUACAAUGGUUGGUACAACGAGUUGCGAGUCGGUGACGGCGAGCUAAUCUCUUAAAGCCAAUCUCAGUUCGGAUUGUAGGCUGCAACUCGCCUACAUGAAGUCGGAAUCGCUAGUAAUCGCGGAUCAGCACGCCGCGGUGAAUACGUUCCCGGGCCUU